UGCCUUCACUCUCUUUCCCUCCAUGCCUAUCCUUUUCUAGAUACACUUCUCCACUUUGAUCUCAUAAAUUUCAAAAUUACUAUAAUUAAUAGGCCAUUAUAAUAUGUAAAUUAUAAUUUUCGUGUUUGUGUUUAAAUGAUGUAAGCUUAAGGAGUAAUUAGAGAUGACUUCUUAAAUCAUCUGAUUUAAUGCUUUUUAUAGCUAAUGUGAAAAAUUGAUUGUGUGCGGAGAAAUUGAAAUUGAUAGAUACAAAAGAGACUCGUUUUAUAGCAGUUUGAGUGAAAUAAAAAGACUUUGGGUAUGGGCUUGGGCUUGGAUUUCAU